GCAAAGCUGGCUGGGGAGUGUCUAUGUUUCGGAAAAUUAUGUAAUGCUACCAUUUUCUGCCUAUUACUUUUUUUCUUUUUUUAAGAAAAUAGAUUUCAUUUUAAUGUAUGACACUAAACAUUUGAAAUCUUAAUAUUCUACACUGUCACGAUGGUUAUUUUGCAUUUUUUAAAACCAAUUUUGCAUAAAAAUUACAACUUUUGGCAGCCUGAUCAGUUAAAGACUCAAGAAGGUUAACGAUUUUCCGUCGUGGGAGGCGGGGGAGAGCAGUGGCGGAAUUAGGAUUCAGCUCCCAUCCUCAGCGCCGAGCGGCUGUCUGCUGCCUACCCAGCAACCCUGGCGCUUUGUGACAAGGAGAUGGAUGAUAUCUGCAGCCUGGCUGGCCGCUCUAUGGGUAAAGGGAGCACCUGCGGCCACCGCUAACCGCCAUCCGACGGGUUAAAAGCUCUGACUGGAGGAAGACGCUCAGAGCAGCCGCGGGUUCCACUGGAGUCCCAUCGGCUGAGAGAAACCUGUGAGACAGAAGCUAAUUAUCCUCUAAAGCAAAAAGCCAGUUGUGGUUCAAUAACUCCAGAGCGCUGCCAGCCUGCGUUUCCUUGGCAACACCUCCACAGCAGUACUGCAGACAUCACAGAGAAAGGCAGGCGGUCACAGGGUACACAGGGCAGGAUGAAUCGGGGAGGAAAGACUUUAAGAGUGACGGGUCGUGUGGAGAUACGUCCUCUAGACUGAUGCAGGCCAAUUACAGGCCAUUACUCUCUGCUGAGAUUGAUUUGCUUUCUUUACGUUUGGGGACCCAGAGAUGUACUGUAUGUAUGAACAUAAUGACAUUUUCAAAAGUACUUCUUGUUUUCUCUUCAGAUUCUAGUAAUAUCUCUAUCUGACUUAGGGUGCUUUCACACCUGCUUCAUUU
ensembl:lncRNA